AUGCAAGACCAGCAGCUGCAGGCUAAUGUUGACUCGGUCCAAGACCUCUUGGCGGGUCAGGUGGCCACUUGCACUCAAUUACAGGGAACACCCAGCCAGGUCCCAGCGCCUGGGGGUGAUAAUGGCAGCCUCCUCUUCCAGCCAGGGGUGCUAGAGGCGCUGUCCAGCGCGGUUGCCGCAAGGAUCGCUACGGCAGAUGGUGGUACGAAAAAUAAUGCCGUACGCUUUACAUUCAGUGCAGCUAAAAACUCUAUGCAGGGCAACUCAAAAAAGAAAGACAAAAAAAAGAGGUGCCAAACAGAGCUGAGGAUGCCCGCAAGCAAAUACUAG
rnacentral:rRNA from 1 species